UACGUAGGGUGCAAGCGUUAAUCGGAAUUACUGGGCGUAAAGCGUGCGCAGGCGGUUGUGUAAGACAGAUGUGAAAUCCCCGGGCUCAACCUGGGAAUUGCAUUUGUGACUGUACGGCUAGAGUGUGUCAGAGGGGGGUAGAAUUCCACGUGUAGCAGUGAAAUGCGUAGAGAUGUGGAGGAAUACCGAUGGCGAAGGCAGCCCCCUGGGAUAACACUGACGCUCAUGCACGAAAGCGUGGGGAGCAAACAGG
rnacentral:rRNA from 1 species